GACGGGGAUAAACCCGGGAAACUGGGUAUAAUACCCGAUAGAUCUCGGCUGCUGGAAUGCACCGAGUUCUAAAGCUCCGGCGCUCAAGGAUGGAUCUGCGGCCUAUCAGGUAGUAGUGGGUGUAGCGUACCUACUAGCCUACGACGGGUACGGGUUGUGAGAGCAAGAGCCCGGAGAUGGAUUCUGAGACACGAACCCAGGCCCUACGGGGUGCAGCAGGCGCGAAAACUUUACAAUGCUGGAAACAGCGAUAAGGGGACCUCGAGUGCCAGGUUACAAAUCUGGCUGUCGUGAUGCCUAAAAAGCAUUGCAUAGCAAGGGCCGGGCAAGACCGGUGCCAGCCGCCGCGGUAACACCGGCGGCUCGAGUGGUAACCGUUAUUAUUGGGUCUAAAGGGUCUGUAGCCGGCCGGAUAAGUCUCUUGGGAAAUCUGGCAGCUUAACUGUCAGGCUUUCAGGAGAUACUGUCUGGCUCGAGGCCGGGAGAGGUGAGAGGUACCUCAGGGGUAGGGGUGAAAUCUUGUAAUCCUUGAAGGACCACCAGUGGCGAAGGCGUCUCACCAGAACGGACCUGACGGCAAGGGACGAAAGCUAGGGGCACGAACCGGAUUAGAUACCCGGGUAGUCCUAGCCGUAAACGAUACUCGCUAGGUGUCGGCCACGGUGCGACCGUUGUCGGUGCCGUAGGGAAGCCGUGAAGCGAGCCACCUGGGAAGUACGGCCGCAAGGCUGAAACUUAAAGGAAUUGGCGGGGGAGCACCACAACGGGUGGAGCUUGCGGUUUAAUUGGAUUCAACGCCGGAAAUCUUACCGGGACCGACAGCAAUAUGAAGGCCAGGCUGAAGACUUUGCCGGAUUAGCU
rnacentral:rRNA from 1 species